UGCCAGUGAUAAACUGGAGGAAGGUGGGGAUGACGUCAAGUCAUCAUGGCCCUUACGAGUAGGGCUACACACGUGCUACAAUGGCAUAUACAAAGAGAAGCGACCUCGCGAGAGCAAGCGGACCUCAUAAAGUAUGUCGUAGUCCGGAUUGGAGUCUGCAACUCGACUCCAUGAAGUCGGAAUCGCUAGUAAUCGUGGAUCAGAAUGCCACGGUGAAUACGUUCCCGGGCCUUGUACACACCGCCCGUCACACCAUGGGAGUGGGUUGCAAAAGAAGUAGGUAGCUUAACCUUCGGGAGGGCGCUUACCACUUUGUGAUUCAUGACUGGGGUGAAGUCGUAACAAGGUAACCGUAGGGGAACCUGCGGUUGGA
rnacentral:rRNA from 1 species